rnacentral:rRNA from 1 species
UACGAAGGGGGCUAGCGUUGCUCGGAAUCACUGGGCGUAAAGGGUGCGUAGGCGGGUCUUUAAGUCAGGGGUGAAAUCCUGGAGCUCAACUCCAGAACUGCCUUUGAUACUGAGGAUCUUGAGUUCGGGAGAGGUGAGUGGAACUGCGAGUGUAGAGGUGAAAUUCGUAGAUAUUCGCAAGAACACCAGUGGCGAAGGCGGCUCACUGGCCGAUACUGACGCUGAGGCACGAAAGCGUGGGGAGCAAACAGG